GCGGGUAUGGCGGAAUUGGCAGACGCGCUAGACUUAGGAUCUAGUGCCCUUGGGCAUGUGGGUUCGACCCCCUCUACCCGCA
rnacentral:tRNA from 1 species